UGGCUCAGACGAACGCUGGCGGCGUGCCUAACACAUGCAAGUCGAACGGGAAAACAGGGGCAACUCUGUGAGUACAGUGGCGUACGGGUGAGUAACACGUGACUACCUACCCUCGAGUGGGGGAUAACCCCGGGAAACCGGGGCUAAUACCGCAUAAUAUCGCAAGAUCAAAGGAGCAAUUCGCUUGAGGAGGGGGUCGCGGCUGAUUAGCUAGUUGGUGGGGUAACGGCCCACCAAGGCGAUGAUCGGUAGCCGGCCUGAGAGGGCGCACGGCCACACUGGAACUGAAACACGGCCCAGGGACCUACGGGAGGCAGCUGUGGG
rnacentral:rRNA from 1 species